rnacentral:rRNA from 1 species
AGUGAACGCUGGCGGUAGGCCUAACACAUGCAAGUCGAACGGCAGCACAGUAAGAGCUUGCUCUUACGGGUGGCGAGUGGCGGACGGGUGAGGAAUACAUCGGAAUCUACUUUUUCGUGGGGGAUAACGUAGGGAAACUUACGCUAAUACCGCAUACGACCUACGGGUGAAAGCAGGGGAUCUUCGGACCUUGCGCGAUUGAAUGAGCCGAUGUCAGAUUAGCUAGUUGGCGGGGUAAAGGCCCACCAAGCCGACGAUCCGUAGCUGGUCUGAGAGGAUGAUCAGCAACACUGGAACGGAGGUACGGUCCAGACUCCUACGGAAGAGAGCAGUGGGGAAUAUUGGACAAUGGGCGCAAGCCUGAUCCAGACAUACCGCGUGAGUUCAGAAGGCCUUAGGGUUGUAAAGCCCUUUUGUUGGGAAAGAAAAGAAGCAGGUGAAUACCCCGCUGUUCUGACGGUAACCAAAGAAUAAGCACCGGCUAACUUCGUG